rnacentral:tRNA from 2 species
GCUUCUUUCAUAUAAAGGUUAUUAUGCCUCUCUUGUAAAGAGGUCAUGUGGGUUCAAUUCCUACAAGAAGCUC